rnacentral:lncRNA from 1 species
UUACGUUUACUGUAUAGGCUAUAUGUUCUCUAGAUCCACUCGGCCUCCUAUCUAUCCAAAACAAUUUACAAACUAUUUACCUGGGUAUGAAAAAUUACCAUAUUGGGAGAGUUAAUUUACAAACUAUUUACUUGGGUAUGAAAAAUUACAAUGCUAAGAGAGUGGCUUCUAUAUGAGCUACAGUAAUCGAGUCAAAUGUAAUUGAAGUCCGGUGGACUUUCAAAUACAAAUGCUAUAGACUAAAAAGAAAAAUUUACAACGGAAAUAAUCUGCGGAACGAUUCGUUCCAAAUCACGAUACUAUUACAUUGUGUUUUAAGUACAAAAUGGACCCGUGUAUAAUAAAAACUAUAACUACAUAGUACAUACUCUUGGUAUACGGAUGAGCGUCAUUGAAGAGAGAAAGGGUACCAUUGUAAUUGCAUCAUCCAUUUAUAACAGAAAAAUAUUGUGCCGUCAGUUUAGGGGGGAAAUUGAUUGAAAAGGGAGCUGCGUAUUUCAAGCUAGAGCAAAUCGGAAGGACAUAUGUUAGCCGAAACACCAUAAGAUUCAGCUUUGUAUAAUCUCUUCCAAUUUGUAUACUCCACUGUCAUUCCAGAUAAGCCUCUCGAAUUUUUGCUUCUAGAACUCUCCCUCCAUUUUCUUAUGGUCAUUCUUCAUCGAAACGUGAUCUCUUCCACUCUAAUUUGUCUAUGGGUUGCUUUGUGUUUUAAACAGCCCCACCUCCAUGCCUCGGCUGGGUUUCUUUCCAUGGGAAUUAUAGAUUUAUAAUGUACAGGGAUUCAGAGCUGAUUUGAUUUCGUGAAAGGGAGCAAUGAUAGACGAAGGUUUCGCAGAGUUGUCUUCUAGAAAAGAGAUCCAAUAACAGUCCUAUUUUGUUUUUUUUUUCUGCCAUCAUUACCCCUCCACUUAAACAUCAAAUUACAUAUACUACCCUCCUACAUAACUUAUGUGCA